UGCAAAGUUCAUACUUUGUAUUGUAAUACACUACUGUAAUGACACACCCGAAUCAUUACCUAAGUGAUGUGUUGAUACACAUCACUUAAGUAAUGAUUCGGGUGUAUAGAUACAAUGUAUUCGUCGUCACAGUAUCUAUUGAACGCACCGAGUAAUGUUAAGAGUGAUGUGUAAUGUUUUCGAGUAAUAUCACCUGUCUGUAAAAGUGAUGUCAUAUCACAUUACAUUGGGAAGUGAUGUUUAGGUGAAUGAAGUUAGCCCCUCAAAAAAAAUUUUUUUUCCUGUUUUCUACUUAUUUUCUAUUAAUUCGUUUGUUCAUCAUUUGUUCUUGAUUGUUCACUGUUAAUAAUUGUUUGUUCCCCAUUUAUUUAUUUUAAAAAAAAUAUUAAAAAUAUAUCUAAAAGUUAGCCCCUCGAUUGCAAUUUUUAAUAUUUUUUCGUCCUUAAUUACUCGUAAAUAUUCAUUUUCGAUUGUUCUUAUAUAAAAUACGUUUGUUCUCUUUCGAAAUUACUCAUUUUUUGUUUAAUUAAUUGUAUUAGUUGAAUAAAUGUAUACAAAAUAUGUGUACUGCGCAUGCCAUAAGUGUAUAAUCUAUGGCGCAUGCGUCAACUUUAAUGCCUAAACUUUCUACGCGGUUUUAAUCGUGAAAAAAAAACAAUUAUAAAUCCUGAAGGAUCAAUUAAUUGGUAUACAGUUUAAUUAAAAAAAUUAAAAAAUAAAUAAAUAAAAUAAUGUGCAUUCGCGUAAAGUUAGCCCAAAUACAUUUUUUCCAUCCUCCUAUAUACCUAUCGCUAUGAAGGUAUAAAAAAGAUAGGUUAAGAGUUCACAUAGGUAAUAUAAACAAAUAAGUAAAUAUGUUCAUUAUUUAUCUUUCAAGAGAUAAUGUAGGUAUACAUUAUAAUAACAUUUUGACACAGUCGAAAUUAUAUUCCUAACAUUAGUAAAAUAACAUUUUAAUAUUUUUUUUAUAGGUUAUGUAUUGAAAUUGUUGGAAAAUUAUUUCAUGUUUUAGCUGGAAAACUACAUGGAGAAUUAUAUGCAAUACAAGAUAAUGAGCUCCAUCAAAUGAAUUCGAAUGAAACCAAACUGUUUACCAUCCAAAUUCGAUUGUCGGGCAGAUAGAAAACGAAAAUUCACUCAUAGUGAACCUCGGCCUGCAUUUGUGAAACGGCAAAGACUCACUAUUAUCAAGGAAAUUGAGAGACGACUAAAAAUGAGAUGUGUCGUAUUAUUAUACCUUUGCCAUCUUGUAGUCAAGAUGUCCAGCCACUUGAAAAUAGGUGUAGUAAUGACAAAGCUAUCCAAGUAGCUCCAGCACAGGAACACGAAGGCAAGGCAAGUGUGUAUUGCCACAUCACCCCUUAAUAUAUCUGAAGCAAGUAUAAGGAAACAAUCAGAACCAGCAAAAAAAAAAACUGUUGUUCCUGAGGACAAAUUUGACAGUGAUGAGUCAAAUGCACCAGCAACAGAAGGAUCAACUGUUGACUAUGGGUUAUAGAAGAAGAAGAUUAAUUCAUAUUUAUUUAAAUUAAUAUUAAUGAAUAUUAAUUUAAAUUAUCGUGCAAAAUUCGUGGUCAAAACAUAUGUGUAUUUUAUAAAUAAAUAUUCAUUCUCAGUA